rnacentral:lncRNA from 1 species
CCUGGACUCAUGAGAAUUCUUUCAGAAAAGGCCAAAUCUGCUGGUACCCGCCACCUCACUUCCACUCGUAUGUCUCCUGACUCCCUGGAUGAAGCGAAUAUUGAAGGGCCUCUCUUCAGCUCCAUUUAUAUGUUUCUAUACCAAACUGAGCUUGUUUGAGAAGAAGUGAUGGAGCUGUGGUCUUCACGCAGGUGUCCAUGACUCCCUCCUCAAGUCACUAAAGACUUCAGCUCCCUGAUGGUGGCCAGGGAUAACAACUUCCACCUGCUGAGUGCACACCAUGUCUGGGCCUGGCGCAGACACUGUUCCAGCCUGAAGAGGCUGCACAAAAGCUCAGGCAUGGCCAGACAGUGCUUGGUUGGAGGGCCUUCUCCUUCCUGGAAACCACCCUGUGUGUAAUGUUUGCGUGACAUUUCUUGGUUCUUCAUAGCUUCACAGGACAGGGUGUAGCAUCCUGGUGAAUGAAAAAAGCAAGUUGCAGAAUGAUA